rnacentral:rRNA from 1 species
ACGAACGCUGGCGGCGUGCCUAAUACAUGCAAGUCGAACGCAUUUUCUUUCACCGUAGCUUGCUACACCGAAAGAAAAUGAGUGGCGAACGGGUGAGUAACACGUGGGUAACCUGCCCAUCAGCGGGGGAUAACACUUGGAAACAGGUGCUAAUACCGCAUAAUUCCAUUUACCGCAUGGUAGAUGGAUGAAAGGCGCUUUUGCGUCACUGAUGGAUGGACCCGCGGUGCAUUAGCUAGUUGGGGGGGUAACGGCCUACCAAGGCUGCGAUGCAUAGCCGACCUGAGAGGGUGAUCGGCCACACUGGGACUGAGACACGGCCCAGACUCCUACGGGAGGCAGCAGUAGGGAAUCUUCGGCAAUGGACGCAAGUCUGACCGAGCAACGCCGCGUGAGUGAAGAAGGUUUUCGGAUCGUAAAACUCUGUUGUUAGAGAAGAACAAGGAUGAGAGUGGAAAGUUCAUCCCUUGACGGUAUCUAACCAGAAAGCCACGGCUAACUACGUG